GACGAACGCUGGCGGCGUGCCUAAUACAUGCAAGUCGAACGCUGAAGGAGGAGCUUGCUUCUCUGGAUGAGUUGCGAACGGGUGAGUAACGCGUAGGUAACCUGCCUGGUAGCGGGGGAUAACUAUUGGAAACGAUAGCUAAUACCGCAUAAUAGUAGAUGUUGCAUGACAUUUGCUUAAAAGGUGCAAUUGCUUCACUACCAGUUGGACCUGCGUUGUAUUAGCGUGUUGGUGGGGUAACGGCGCACCUAGGCGGGGAUACAUAGCCGACCGGUGAGGGUGAGCGGCCACCCUGAGAGUGAGACACGCCCCAGACUCCUUCAGAAGGGAGCAGUAGGGAAUCGUCGGCAAGGGGCGGAAGUCAGACCGAGCAACGCCGCGGGAGUGAAGAGGGUCGUCGGAUCGGAAAGCUCUGUUGUAAGGGAAGAACGAGUGUGAGAGUGGAAAGUUCACACUGUGACGGUAUCGUACCAGAAAGCAACGGCUAACUACGUG
rnacentral:rRNA from 1 species